GAUUUCAACUAAAAAAGUCAUCAACAAUAAAGUUGUAUAACUCACCAAGAUCUAUAACUUUUAUGUUUGUCAUUUCUUCAUCCGACAAAGUGUUAGUAACAUUGUUCACAAAAUUUACAUAUCUGUGUUAUAGUUUAUAAAACUAGAUGAGAGAUAUGAAUUUUGUGAACAAUGUUACUAUCACUUUGUCGGAUGAAGAAAUGACCAAAAUAAAAGUUAUAGAUCUUGAUGAGUUAUACAAUUUUGUUGUUGAUGACUUUUACAGUUGAAAUC
rnacentral:pre_miRNA from 1 species